UGUUGACGCAGUUUCUUCCGCUUGGUA
rnacentral:sRNA from 1 species